GAUGAACGCUGGCGGCGUGCCUAAUACAUGCCAGUCGAGCGAACAGAUAAGGAGCUUGCUCCUUUGACGUUAGCGGCGGACGGGUGAGUAACACGUGGGUAACCUACCUAUAAGACUGGAAUAACUCCGGGAAACCGGGGCUAAUGCCGGAUAACAUGUUGAACCGCAUGGUUCUACAGUGAAAGGCGGCUUUGCUGUCACUUAUAGAUGGACCCGCGCCGUAUUAGCUAGUUGGUGAGGUAACGGCUCACCAAGGCAACGAUACGUAGCCGACCUGAGAGGGUGAUCGGCCACACUGGAACUGAGACACGGUCCAGACUCCUACGGGAGGCAGCAGUAGGGAAUCUUCCGCAAUGGGCGAAAGCCUGACGGAGCAACGCCGCGUGAGUGAUGAAGGUCUUCGGAUCGUAAAACUCUGUUAUUAGGGAAGAACAAAUGCGUAAGUAACUGUGCGCGUCUUGACGGUACCUAAUCAGAAAGCCACGGCUAACUACGUG
rnacentral:rRNA from 1 species